GAUAAAUCUCAGAGUGAAAGUGGUGUCGAUCUUGAGGGCAACCUUUAGGAUUGCGGUCUCGCGACAGCACGAGCUAGCAGAUGUUGAAGAACAGGAAAUCUGGAAACCAGCACAAAAAUACACCUCCCAAGGCUUCGCCGCCAGUUCAUCGUGGGCCCAAUCGGAGUAGAUUCUAGACUAUUAUGAAGGCACCAAUGGUGGUCACUACUAUCAGUCGAAACAUGUACGGAUCGAUCCAGGAAUUUUCGAUUGUCUACGGUCGGACUACCCGUAACACAGGGACGACUGUUUUCUGACUUAUAGCACCCGUCAGUCAGUCAGCUGCUGUUUCGUGUGUCGGUGGAGGUGGUUUUGUUAUCUGUUCCCGGGCUGUUUCAAAUCACCUGCGUGGGAAUUUCCAGUAAGAAUCAAGUAUGUCAACCGGUGAUACCUUUCUGUGGUAAAGUGCUCAAUACACAGAAGCGUGCGGGCGGAACCACGACCAAUCAUGAAGAUUACGUCGAUGCAUCUUGUCCGGAGGUUUCGGUGGUACGGUGCGAAAUAAAAAGAAAAGAUUAGAUGCAAAGACGGGGCAGGUGAUCUGCAAAAAGCGCUUAAGUAAUCUGAGGAACCGGAGCUGGUGGGAGUGCCGGUGGUGCUGCUUUGGUUGCCGUUAAUAAUAGAUAGAUGAUAGAGAAACAGUCAAAAUCCUACUGGGGCGGUUUUUAUCUCUAUAAUUCCAACUUUGUGCUGGUUAUGAUGGAAUCCUACACUGGUUUCGCUCUCAUCAACGACUCUCAAAGAAUUCGUGCCCAACAUGCCAUUAACCGGGAACCAAGCCCUAUGUGUGAU